UACGGAGGGAGCUAGCGUUGUUCGGAAUUACUGGGCGUAAAGCGCACGUAGGCGGCUUUGUAAGUCAGAGGUGAAAGCCUGGAGCUCAACUCCAGAAUUGCCUUUGAGACUGCAUCGCUUGAAUCCAGGAGAGGUGAGUGGAAUUCCGAGUGUAGAGGUGAAAUUCGUAGAUAUUCGGAAGAACACCAGUGGCGAAGGCGGCUCACCGGACUGGUAUUGACGCUGAGGUGCGAAAGCGUGGGGAGCAAACAGG
rnacentral:rRNA from 1 species